GGAAGAGGAGGAAGGAGGGCGAGCGAGGAGGAUGGCGGACUCGGGACUCCUGACGGAAACCUGUCCAGUUUAAGUCGUCUUGGUCUGAGAUAUAACAGACUGUCAGCAAUACCCAGAUCAUUAGCAAAAUGCAGUGCACUUGAAGAAUUAAAUUUAGAGAACAAUAACAUUUCUACUUUACCAGAGAGUCUUUUAUCAAGUCUUGUGAAACUGAAUAGUUUGACCUUAGCUAGAAAUUGCUUCCAGUUAUAUCCAGUGGGUGGUCCAUCUCAGUUUUCUACCAUCUAUUCCCUCAACAUGGAACACAAUCGAAUAAAUAAAAUUCCAUUUGGAAUUUUCUCCAGAGCAAAAGUAUUAAGUAAGCUGAAUAUGAAGGACAAUCAGUUAACAUCACUUCCCUUGGAUUUUGGAACUUGGACCAGUAUGGUAGAAUUAAAUUUAGCCACUAAUCAGCUCACAAAGAUCCCUGAGGAUGUGUCUGGUCUCGUUUCUCUUGAGGUUCUUAUCUUAUCAAACAAUCUUCUAAAGAAGCUUCCCCAUGGUCUUGGAAACCUUAGGAAGUUAAGAGAGUUGGAUCUAGAAGAGAACAAAUUGGAAUCCUUGCCAAAUGAAAUUGCAUAUCUUAAGGAUUUACAGAAAUUAGUCUUGACAAACAACCAGUUGACCACUCUUCCCAGAGGCAUUGGUCACCUUACUAAUCUCACACAUCUGGGCCUUGGAGAGAACCUACUUACUCACCUUCCUGAAGAAAUUGGUACACUGGAGAACCUAGAAGAACUGUAUUUGAAUGACAACCCCAACCUGCAUAGCCUUCC
rnacentral:sRNA from 1 species